GAGGUGCUGAGGGGAAGGGGGCGGCCCUGAGGGGAAGGGGCUGGGUUAGGGUCACAGGGCGGCGUAGCAGCGCCUAUAGGGGGGUUUUGGGAGGGUCUCUGCUCGCCUGGCAGGGUUUGGGAGGGUGGAAAGUGGGCACUGAGGUGACUCUGGGGGAGGUCUGGCAGGAAGGUGUUAAAAAGGGGGUUGGAAAAAAGCAUGCAGGAAUGGCUUUAAACAUGGACAUCAGGGGGAUACUGACAGGGUAAAGGGGAAUGGCUUUAAACUGAAGGAGAGGAGGUUUGGAUUAGAUAUUAGGAAGGAAUUCUUCACUCUGAGGGCAGUGAGGCACUGGCGCAGGCUGCCCAGAGGAGCUGGGCUGCCCCAUCCCUGGGGGUGUUCGGGGCCAGGCUGGAUGGGGCUGGGGGCAGCCUGGGCUGGUGGGUGGCAUCCUGCCCGUGUCAGAGGGGUUGGAUCUGGGUGGUCUUUGAGGCCCCUUCCAACCCAAACCGUUCUGUGCUUCUAUAAAAGUGAGCACCGCCUGCUUCCCCUGAGACCGCUCAGCGCUUUCCGCGUUGCACCUUCUCCCUGCCUGCUUUCUCGUUACAGCCCGGUGGUUUCAGUCAGGCAGCUGCCUUUCCCAUCAAGAUUUUGGUAUUUGUCGUGGCUAACUUCAAGAUUUUCCAAUAGGGGAUGUGUAAGACCAAGGCCUGGGCCACGUGAGCAUGAAUCACUCGGUUACCGCGGAAACGAUCGACACUAUUUGGUUUUUACUUCUUCGGCCCCAGUGACCGGAUCACACGCCGACCUCCCCGGGCUCCGGCACACCCAAAGUCUGGGGACGAUGCGAGCCUGGGCGCUGCGCGUGAAUCACCGUGACUGCGAGCCUUCUGCUGCAAGGGGAAAGCACGAACUGGGUGUGAGCUUCCCCCCCCCCGCUCCUUUUCCAUUUCCUUUUGUCUGAGGGAGAAGGAGGGCUGGAAAGGUCCCAUCCGUGCGAAGAAAUGAGCAGCUUAUCCCACUUCCAAGUGCAAAAAGAAACUGAGAAUCACGGCUUUACGGGUUAAAACAGCGUCGCUGUGAGUGUGGAUGAGUUCCACUGCGAGAGAAAUGGCAGAAGGGGGUUUAGCUUAACUCCCUCCGCGACGCCUUUUCUCCAGGGGAAAGAUUUACAGGUGUGAGGGAGGUUUUGCAUUUUACCCAGGUAGCUGCGACAAAUCCAGGCUUUUAAAAAAUGAAAUUGUGCCCUAACAGCUCUGUGAGAACGACCACAUGGGGUCAGCCCAGCUCUCCCCAGCGGGGCUCGGCGCAGAUGGCCGGGACCCGCGCAGGAACAGAGAUUUUGGACAAGCCUUCUCCAGACACAUCCUCCCAGUUUCCGGCAAUCAGCAGCGCGGGGACAUCCUGACCCAGGAGGUUCAUCCGGCCCCUGGUAUUUAAUAGCCGAACGCCGCUCUCCGUGCGUGUGCCUCAGCUCCUGACCUCCAGAGCUCCCAGAGUGCCGCAGCGUAACGGCGCUGAAUGGGGAAAAAAGCCUUCAGUUUGUUUAAAACUCCUCUUUUAUUAGUCCCGGAGACCGGCCCUGUCCUAUUUACAGCCACAGGUGCUGACUUCAGCUUGGCUUGAGGACAGAAACCUUUUUCACGUGCGGAUUUCUGUAGCGGCAUGGGCCUGAACCAGAGCAGGGAAACGAUCUGGAUGGAAAAACCUCCCCGAGGGAAGGGGAAUUUGCCAGGCUGCUGGUGGAAGGGGGAACAGACCCUCUUCAGCUGGGUUUACAAGCAGUGAGUGAAGAAACCCCCCCCCCGAUGGAAGCAGUGGGGUUUUAACCCAACCUCAGCGCCUCCAAAAGCCUCUUCCAUUCCAGCAAUGUUUUAGGGAAAGGCUGCUGGCACUCGGGGAUUAACCUCUCGCAAAGGUUUGCUCUUCACACCCUCCCAGGGCCCGUAACCCCCCCCCGGCAGACCCUGUGCCCACCCCCCAGGCAGGGCAGCUGGUUUUCAAUGCCCCCCUCUCCCUAUGCAGCGAGCUUGAAGCCCUUUCUCUGAUUUUAGCCACAUCGGAAGGAGGCGGUGAUGCUCUUAAAGGCUUUCUGAAGAAUAAGUGAGUGUCUGGGGAAGGGCUCAGCUGCUCUGUGAACACCCCGGAGGGUCCCCGCACAAAACAGGCCUCGUUUCUUAGCACGGUGAUGGGAAGUGGCCGCGGAGAAGCUCCCACUCCUAGAGACAUCUGUAAGACCCACGGUGGCUUUCCAAAGGUCAAGUGAUUCAGGUCAGCGAGGAUUCACAGCAGCCAGCAGAUAAAUCUCCACGGGACCGCCGAAGCCAGGGUUUGGUUGCAAAAAGCUGAAAUAAAGCGUUUCCACUCGUGUCGCA
rnacentral:lncRNA from 1 species